CACCUGGAUGACAGAGGGACAGCACAAACCUAUCUGUUGCAUUCACUGAGAGUAAGAAACUAAGUGCCAGGGCUAAGUGUUUCACCUGCACUAUCUCAUUUCAUAUAACCAUCCUGAGGCUUGUUUCCAUUUUACAAGUCAGGAAAUUUGAAGCUUGUAGAGGUAGUCAAGAUCAAGUGGCAGAAUGACAAUUCAAACCUAGAUUGGUCUGUUUCCAAACUUAACUCCAUUACACCCGACCCCAGAUUCAGGCCAAUUCAGUCCAAGACUGUGUUGUCAACUGUGACCCCACAUGCAACAGGAAGAAAGAGAAAGAAGUAAGAAAUGGGACUGGGUUCAGGGGAAAUCUAGGCUGAGUGUCCAAAAGGCUGCAGUUGACCACACAACCUGCGCUGCCACUUGCCUGGCGAGGGCCCAGGACACAGCGAAUCUGCAAGCCCUCUUCACUGGCUGAGUCUGAGUCUUCUGAUCCUGAGAUGCUGGAAAGAUCUCCUGAAAACAUGAGGUGCACAAGUUUGGCGUUCCAUCUUUGACCUUUCCACAGGCUCCUAAACUAGAGCCUUCCUCCACCCCCACGUCCUACUCAACACAGGUCUACCAGCCAUCACCUGUGGAACUCUGCUUUUCAAAGUCCAGGGCAGACAGGAGAGGCUUGUCCUUGAGACGUUGCUUUAGGUUAAACCGAUGCCAGUCAAGCUUAUAAUGUUCCCUCUGGUAGGAAGCAAAGGGGGAGGCUGAAUGUGGAAAUAUGCCCCCCUCUGGCCCUUUAUGGUACCCAUCACCAGUAACAGAACUCCAGGAAGUGUGUUGGAUAACACCAACAGCCUUACUCAAAACGUGAACCUUUAUUAAAGAUAAAUCCUACGUCUACCUCUCCUCACCCACCAUUAUACUUUUGCUUCCACCAUUUACCUCCGCACCUGGCCUUACCUGUUCCUGGUGGUUGUGGAAGGUCUGGUCACAAGUUGAACAAAAUAACUUUUCUGAAAUAUCAA